rnacentral:rRNA from 1 species
GGCUCAGUAACACGUGGAUAAUCUACCCUGCGGAGGGGGAUAACCCCGGGAAACUGGGGAUAAUACCCCAUAGACUAUGGAUGCUGGAAUGCUCUGUAGCCGAAAGGUCCGCCGCCGCAGGAUGAGUCUGCGGCCGAUUAGGUUGUUGUUGGGGUAACGGCCCAACAAGCCUGUAAUCGGUACGGGUUGUGGGAGCAAGAGCCCGGAGAUGGAUUCUGAGACACGAAUCCAGGCCCUACGGGGCGCAGCAGGCGCGAAAACUUUGCAAUGCGGGAAACCGUGACAAGGGAACUCCGAGUGCCCGUAAAUUCGGGCUGUCCGCCAGUUUAAAUCACUGGUGAAGAAAGGGCCGGGCAAGACCGGUGCCAGCCGCCGCGGUAAUACCGGCGGCUCGAGUGGUGGCCACUAUUACUGGGCUUAAAGCGUUCGUAGCUGGUCUGUUAAGUCUCUGGGGAAAUCUUCCGGCUUAACCGGAAGGCGUCUCAGGGAUACUGGCAGACUAGGGACCGGGAGAGGUGAGGGGUACUCCAGGGGUAGGAGUGAAAUCCUGUAAUCCUUGGGGGACCACCUGUGGCGAAGGCGCCUCACCAGAACGGCUCCGACAGUGAGGAACGAAAGCUGGGGGAGCAAACCGGAUUAGAUACCCGGGUAGUCCCAGCUGUAAACGAUGCGCGUUAGGUGUAUCGGUGACCACGAGUCACCGAGGUGCCGAAGAGAAAUCGUGAAACGUGCCGCCUGGGAAGUACGGUCGCAAGGCUGAAACUCAAAGGAAUUGACGGAAGGGC